rnacentral:lncRNA from 1 species
UCGGUCGGUGGGUAUCCUCCAACAGGCUGCAAUCAUGAAUCUACAUGAUAGAAAUGCAAAGACAAGUGGAAGAUGAAAAACAUAAAAUGAUUGACUUUUUCUAUAGAGGAAAACAAUUAUUCACAUUCUGGUGACGUUACACGUGUGGCUAAUUCUAUCAAGAAGCAAAAUUGGUUUAUGAGGUUUCUAAAGUUAUUACAGUAAAUUAACACACAAAAUUCAUGAAACUUGAGUCAGGAUGUCAAUGAUAUAAAGCUCUGAGAAAGAAUGAAGACAUAUCCAACGGGGACAAGUUAAUUUUGACCCUUACUUGAAAAUUCGAUCUCUGAGGCAUCUAUGGUACGUGAAGGAGUCUAAAGUAUGUAACGAAAAGGAGCCUCCUAUAUAUGCAAAACAGCUUUUUUAUGAUUGUGUCAAUGGUCCCCAGCCGUAGCUCAAAAGCAAGACACUUGCGUAGUGAAGAUUUCAUUUUGGUUUAUAACAUUGUGACAUUGCGUAA